UCUUUUUUUUUUACUAUCAGUGAGAAAUAUCUAGUUUACAAAGCAGAAGUGUUUUCUGAUUAAGCCUAUUACCUACUGUUAUCACCUCGUAGACAACCUAAUCCUGAGUGACUAGCUACCUGGGAGGAGAGCAAUAUUAGCAGUGGCAGUGGUUGUUGUUUGAACUGAGACAUAACUUGCGUGAAAUGAAUCAGUGUUAAAUCCCUAGCUCAAUAAGUUUUACAUAUACAUGUACACAAGUAACUACCACCCGAAGGCUCCCUUUUGUCCCUUCUCAGUCAAUACCCAUAUCAGCCUCUUCAACACUCUUUCUUAAACACACCAAGUGGUAAAAACUAGUCUGACUUCUAUGAUGACAAGUCGGAUUUGUCUGUUUUUGAACUUCGUAUAAUGUAAACAUUCAGUAUGUACUCUUUUGAAUUUGGUUCUUUUAAUUUUGUCUAUGACCAAUAAGCAACAUCAUGAUUGUCAUGAUUUGAAUUAUGUCCCCCCAGAAAUAUGUGUGUCUAUUUGGCUGUGUGAUUUUCUUAUAUGUUGUAAAUCCUGCCUCUAUGAUGUUAAUGAGGCAGGAUGGGGAGCAGUUGAGUUAGUGAGGCAGGACUCAAUCUACAUGAUUGGAUUGUGUCUUGAGGCAAUCUCUUGAGAUAUAAAAGAAAGAAGCUACAGAGAGACAGUGAGACCUCAUACCAGCAAGAAAGCAGUGCCAGGAGCAGAGUGCAUCCUUUGGAUUCAGGGUCCCUGCAUGGAGAAGCUCCUAGUCUGUGGGAUGAUUUAUGAAAAGGCUGAAAGAGAGAGAAAGCCUUGCCCUGGAGCUGAAGCCCUGAAUUUGGACUUUGAGCCUACUUUACUGUGAAGAAAUAAAUAAUUCUUUGUUAAAGCCAUCAACUUGAGGUGUUUCUGUUAUAGCAGCACUAGAUAACUAAGACAAUGAUAAAUGGAGAAAAGAUUGAAGCUGUCAAGGAUUUCAUUUUAUUUGAAUUCACAAUCAAUGUCCUGGAAGCAGCAGUCAAGAAAUCAAACGAUGUAUUGUAUUGGGCAAAUAUGCUAGCGAAGACUUCUUUAAAGUGUUAAAAAGCAAAGAUGUCAUUUUGAGUAUUAAGGUUCACCUGUCCCACUCCAUGGUAUUUUCACUUGCUUCAUAUGCAUGUGAAAGUUGGAUAACGAAUAAAGAAGAUUGGAAGAAUUGACACCUUUGAAUUAUGGUGUUGGCGAAGAAUAUUGAAUAUACCAUGGACUGCCAGAAGAACGAACAAACCUAUCUUGGAAGAAGUACUGCCAGAAUGCUCCUUAGAACCAAAGAUGACGAGGUUUUAUCUCACAUAUUAUGGACGUGUUAUCAGAAGGACCAGUCCCUGGAGAAGGACAUCAUGCUUAGUAAAGUAGAGGGUAAGAGAAAAAGAGGAAGACCCUCAACAAGGUGGAUUGACAUAUUGGCUGCAACAAUGGGCUCAACCAUGGCAAUGAUUGUAAGGAUGAUGCAGCCUGGGCAGUAUUUCCUUCUGUUGUAUGUAGGGUCGCUAUGAUUCAGAACAAACUUGAUGGUACCUAACAACAACAUGUCUAUGGGAUUGAUUUAUGUUGUUGUGUGUAUCAGGAACUUCUAAUUUUUCAUUGCUGUAUACUCUUCUAUGAAUAUACCACAAUUUUUCCAUUCUACUAUUAAUAGAUUUUUUUUUCUAGUUUUUGACUAUUUUAAAUAAAAGUGCUAUGAACAUUCUUGUACAUGUAGUUUGGUGGACGUAUGUACUUUUAUUUCUUUUAGGUAUAUACCAAAGAGUGGAAUUACUGGAUCAUAAGGUGGGCAUAUUCUUAGUUUUAGUAAAAAAUGUCCAAAUUCUUUACUGAAAGGUUAGCUUUGAUGGAAGGUACCCUGGUAGUUGUCUGUUUACUCCUCCACAUCCAUUCUCUGCCUUUCUCUGUCCUGCUCUGUGCCCUGAAUCACCCUAGUUUCCUUGCACAUUGGCUUCUGUUUGGAUGCAGCCAAUCAAAAGUCCCCAGAUAAAAGGAGAAUGGGGAGAGAGAGAUUACAGUAUAUAUCCCCUCUGCUCUCUUCUUGCUUCAUCACAGUGAGAGUAGCUGCAAUCUUCUACAGUCAUAGCUCUUACUGAAUGGCUUCAGUUUCAAGGCUCUGGCUCCCACUGGCUGCAUUAACGCCACCCUUCCCCCUUGUCUUUUCUGGUCGAGGGAGUGAUUAUGGAUUCCCACUGUUGCUGGUCCCUGGGCACUUCUCCAUCUAACAUGAUGCUCUUAGCUAACCUAUUUCCUCUAUUAAAAAUCUAAAAUCUUUCAAUAUGCUGUUUUUUCUUACAGGGAUUGUGACAGAUACAAGAGAAAAUAAAGGGGAUUUUGAGACAUGUCAGAAUGUGUUGGAGCACACAGGGAGUCCUGCUCAGCAUGAGAGAGCAACAGAAAGAUAUUGAACUGAAAUUGGUUAUUUAGGACAAUUCAAUUCAACAAAUAUCUUGGAUAAGAAAAGUGAAGCUUAAAGAGUUCAACUUGACCCAAGAUUACAUAGCUAGAAAAUGGCAGAACCAGCAUGUAAACCCAGACAGGAGAUGCCAACACAGUCUCAAGUGUCCAUCUGAUACAAGUAGCUCACUCCUCCUCAUCAUCUCUCUCCAACCCAUUGUUUGUCCAUUCCAUGUCUGGUGAGUUGUCUUCGGGAAUGGUUCCUGUCCUGGGCCAACACAAGGUUUGGGGACCAUGACCUCUGGGAUUCUUCUAGUCUCAGUCAGACCAUUAAGUCUGGUCUUUUUAUGAGAAUUUGGGGUCUGCAUCCCACUGAUCUCCUGCUCCCUCAGGGGUUCUCUGUUGUGCUCCUGUCAGGGCAGUCAUCGGUUGUGGCUGGACACCAUCUCGUUCUUCUAGUCUCGGGAUGAUAUAAGUCUCUAGGUCAUGUGACUCUUUCUGUCUCUUGGGCUCAAAAUUAUCUUGUGACCUUGGUGUUCUUCAUUCUCCUUUGAUCCAGAUGGGUUGAGGCUCAUUGAUGCAUCUUAGAUGGCUGCUUGCUAGCAUUUAAGACCCCAGACACCGCACUUCAAAGUGGGACGCAGAAUGUUUUCUCAGUAGAAUUUAUUUUGCCA